GGCCGAAUACACCAGGCAAUGGUGACAUCAUUAAAUGAAGAUAAUGAAAGUGUCACAGUCGAGUGGAUAGAAAAUGGAGACACAAAAGGAAAAGAGAUUGACUUGGAAAGCAUCUUUUCACUUAACCCUGACCUUGUACCUGAUGAAGACAUUGAGCCAAGUCCAGAAAUACCUCCACCCUCCUCAUCCUCAAAAGUAAACAAAAUUGUAAAGAACCGACGGACUGUGGCAUCUAUUAAGAACGACCCUCCCCCCAGAGAUAAUAGAGUGGUUGGUUCAGCACGCGCACGGCCUAGUCAACUUCCUGAGCAGUCAUCUUCUGCACAACAGAAUGCACGUAGAAAAUCUAAUUGUGUGAAAGAAGUAGAAAAAUUGCAAGAAAAACGAGAAAAAAGAAGAUUGCAACAGCAAGAACUUAGAGAAAAAAGAGCCCAGGAUGUCGAUGCCACAAAUCCAAAUUACGAGAUUAUGUGUAUGAUCAGAGACUUCAGAGGGAGCUUGGACUAUAGACCCCUCACAACAGCUGAUCCUAUUGAUGAACAUAGGAUAUGUGUUUGUGUAAGAAAACGACCACUCAAUAAAAAAGAAACUCAGAUGAAAGAUCUUGAUGUCAUCACAAUCCCUAGUAAAGAUGUUGUGAUGGUUCAUGAACCCAAACAGAAAGUAGACUUAACAAGGUACUUAGAAAACCAGACAUUUCGUUUUGAUUAUGCCUUUGAUGACUCAGCUCCUAAUGAAAUGGUUUACAGAUUUACUGCCAGGCCACUGGUGGAAACAAUAUUGAAAGGGGCAUGGCUACCUGCUUUGCUUAUGGGCAGACUGGAAGUGGGAAAACUCACACUAUGGGUGGUGACUUUUCAGGAAAGAACCAGGAUUGCUCUAAGGGAAUUUAUGCAUUAGCAGCUCGAGAUGUGUUUUUAAUGCUGAAGAAGCCAAACUAUAAGAAACUAGAACUCCAAGUAUAUGCAACAUUUUUUGAAAUUUAUAGUGGAAAGGUGUUUGACUUACUAAAUAGGAAAACAAAGUUAAGAGUCCUAGAGGAUGGAAAGCAGCAGGUGCAAGUGGUAGGGCUGCAGGAACGGGAGGUCAAGUGUGUGGAAGACGUGCUGAAGCUCAUCGACAUCGGCAACAGCUGCAGAACAUCUGGUCAGACAUCUGCAAAUGCACACUCAUCUCGGAGCCAUGCAGUGUUUCAGAUCAUUCUUAGGAGGAAGGGGAAACUACAUGGUAAAUUUUCUCUCAUCGACCUGGCUGGGAACGAAAGAGGAGCUGAUACGUCCAGUGCAGACAGGCAAACCAGGCUUGAAGGUGCUGAAAUUAAUAAAAGCCUUUUAGCACUCAAGGAGUGCAUCCGAGCCUUAGGUAGAAAUAAACCCCACACUCCUUUCCGAGCAAGUAAACUCACUCAGGUGUUGAGAGAUUCCUUCAUAGGUGAGAAUUCUCGCACUUGCAUGAUUGCCACGAUCUCUCCAGGAAUGGCAUCCUGUGAAAACACUCUUAAUACAUUAAGAUAUGCAAAUAGGUAUGAAAGUGAUUCCU
rnacentral:lncRNA from 1 species